UACAGAGGUCUCAAGCGUUUGUUCGGAUUCAUUGGGCGUAAAGGGUGCGUAGGUGGCGGGGUAAGUCAGGUGUGAAAUUUCGGAGCUUAACUCCGAAACUGCAUUUGAUACUGCCUUGCUUGAGGACUGGAGAGGAGACUGGAAUUCACGGUGUAGCAGUGAAAUGCGUAGAGAUCGUGAGGAAGACCAGUGGCGAAGGCGGGUCUCUGGACAGUUCCUGACACUGAGGCACGAAGGCCAGGGGAGCAAACAGG
rnacentral:rRNA from 1 species